CAGUACAUUGGUAGCUGAAAGCCAGGGGCGGUAGCGUG
rfam:Serratia proteamaculans 568, complete genome.